rnacentral:snRNA from 1 species
UUGCUUCGGUAGCACAUAUACUAAAACUGGAAGGAUACAGAGAAGAUUAGCAUGGUCACUGUGCAAGGAUGACACACAAAUUCAUGAAGCGUUCCAUAUUUUA